UACGGAGGGGGCUAGCGUUGUUCGGAAUUACUGGGCGUAAAGCGCACGUAGGCGGCUUUGUAAGUUAGAGGUGAAAGCCCGGGGCUCAACUCCGGAAUUGCCUUUAAGACUGCAUCGCUAGAAUUGUGGAGAGGUAAGUGGAAUUCCGAGUGUAGAGGUGGAAUGCGUAGAGAUCCGGAAGAACACCGGUGGCGAAGGCGGCCUGCUGGGCAGUAGCUGACGCUGAUGCGCGACAGCGUGGGGAGCAACAGG
rnacentral:rRNA from 1 species